rnacentral:rRNA from 1 species
GACGAACGCUGGCGGCGUGCUUAACACAUGCAAGUCGAACGGAAAGGCCCUGCUUUUGUGGGGUGCUCGAGUGGCGAACGGGUGAGUAACACGUGAGUAACCUGCCCUUGACUUUGGGAUAACUUCAGGAAACUGGGGCUAAUACCGGAUAGGAGCUCCUGCUGCAUGGUGGGGGUUGGAGAGUUUCGGCGGUUGGGGAUGGACUCGCGGCUUAUCAGCUGGUUGGUGGGGUAGUGGCUUACCAAGGCUUUGACGGGUAGCCGGCCUGAGAGGGUGACCGGCCACAUUGGGACUGAGAUACGGCCCAGACUCCUACGGGAGGCAGCAGUGGGGAAUAUUGCACAAUGGGCGGAAGCCUGAUGCAGCAACGCCGCGUGCGGGAUGACGGCCUUCGGGUUGUAAACCGCUUUCGCCGGUGACGAAGCGUGAGUGACGGUAAUGGGUAAAGAAGCACCGGCUAACUACGUG